rnacentral:rRNA from 1 species
UAUGAACGCUGGCGGCGUGCCUAAUACAUGCAAGUCGAGCGAACUGAUUAGAAGCUUGCUUCUAUGACGUUAGCGGCGGACGGGUGAGUAACACGUGGGCAACCUGCCUGUAAGACUGGGAUAACUUCGGGAAACCGAAGCUAAUACCGGAUAGGAUCUUCUCCUUCAUGGGAGAUGAUUGAAAGAUGGUUUCGGCUAUCACUUACAGAUGGGCCCGCGGUGCAUUAGCUAGUUGGUGAGGUAACGGCUCACCAAAGCAACGAUGCAUAGCCGACCUGAGGGGGUGAUCGGCCACACUGGGCAUGAGACACGGCCCAGACUCCUACGGGAGGCAGCAGUAGGGAAUCUUCCGCAAUGGACGAAAGUCUGACGGAGCAACGCCGCGUGAGUGAUGAAGGCUUUCGGGUCGUAAGACUCUGUUGUUAGGGAAGAACAAGUACAAGAGUAACUGCUUGUACCUUGACGGUACCUAACCAGAAAGCCACGGCUAACUACGUGCCAGCAGCCGCCGCGG